ensembl:misc_RNA 7SK 7SK RNA
GGAUGUGAGGGCGAUCUGGCUGCGACAUCAGUCACCCCAUUGAUCGCCAGGGUUGAUUCGGCUGAUCUGGCUGGCGGGGUGGGUGUCCCCUCCCUCCCUCACCGCUCCAUGUGCGUCCCUCCCGAAGCUGCACGCUCAGUGGAAGAGGACGACCAUCCCCAAUAGAGGAGGACCGGUCUUCCGUCAAGGGUAUACGAGUAGCUGCACUCCCCUGCUAGAACCUCCAAACGAGCUCUCAAAUAUAACGGAAUGAGCCAAAGGUGCUAGUAUUAGGAAGAAGCCAAUAAAAGUAAUAAUUUUUGAUUUGUAGCAAAACAAAGAUAUGU